GCAUAUCAAUAAGCGGAGGAAAAGAAACCAACAGGGGAUUGCCCUAGUAACGGCGAGUGAAGCGGCAACAGCUCAAAUUUGAAAUCUGGCGCAAGCCCGAGUUGUAAUUUGUAGAGGAUGCUUCUGGGUAGCGACCGAUCUAAGUUCCUUGGAACAGGACGUCAUAGAGGGUGAGAAUCCCGUAUGUGACCGGCCCGCACCCUUUACGUAGCUCCUUCGACGAGUCGAGUUGUUUGGGAAUGCAGCUCUAAAUGGGAGGUAAAUUUCUUCUAAAGCUAAAUACCGGCCAGAGACCGAUAGCGCACAAGUAGAGUGAUCGAAAGAUGAAAAGUACUUUGGAAAGAGAGUUAAAAAGCACGUGAAAUUGUUGAAAGGGAAGCGCCUGCAACCAGACUUCGCGGCAGUGUUCCGCCGGUCUUCUGACCGGUUCAUUCUCUGUCGCGAGGCCAUCAUCGUCUGGGCCCGCCGGAUAAGACCUUAGGAAUGUAGCUCACCUUCGGGGGAGUGUUAUAGCCUAGGGUGAUGCGGCGAGGCUCGGGCGAGGUCCGCGCUUCGGCAAGGAUGAUGGCGUAAUGGUUGUCGGCGGCCCGUCUUGAAACACGGACCAAGGAGUCUAACAUCUAUGCGAGUGUUCGGGUGUCAAACCCCUACGCGUAAUGAAAGUGAACGGAGGUGGGAACCGCAAGGUGCACCAUCGACCGAUCCUGAUGUCCUCGGAUGGAUUUGAGUAAGAGCAUAGCUGUUGGGACCCGAAAGGAUGGUGAACUAUGCCUGAAUAGGGUGAAGCCAGAGGAAACUCUGGUGGAGGCUCGCAGCGGUUCUGACGUGCAAAUCGAUUCGUCAAAUUUGGGKAUAGGGGCGAAAGACUAAUCGAACCAUCUAGUAGCUGGUUCUGCGA
rnacentral:rRNA from 1 species